rnacentral:rRNA from 1 species
UGCAAGUCGAACGAGAUCUUCGGGUCUAGUGGCGCACGGGUGCGUAACGCGUGGGAAUCUGCCCUUUGGUUCGGAAUAACAGUUGGAAACGACAGCUAAUACCGGAUGAUGACGAAAGUCCAAAGACUUAUCGCCAGAGGAUGAGCCCGCGUAGGAUUAGCUAGUUGGUGUGGUAAAGGCGCACCAAGGCGACGAUCCUUAGCUGGUCUGAGAGGAUGAUCAGCCACACUGGGACUGAGACACGGCCCAGACUCCUACGGGAGGCAGCAGUGGGGAAUAUUGGACAAUGGGCGAAAGCCUGAUCCAGCAAUGCCGCGUGAGUGAUGAAGGCCUUAGGGUUGUAAAGCUCUUUUACCCGGGAUGAUAAUGACAGUACCGGGAGAAUAAGCUCCGGCUAACUCCGUGCCAGCAGCCGCGGUAAUACGGAGGGAGCUAGCGUUGUUCGGAAUUACUGGGCGUAAAGCGCACGUAGGCGGCUUUGUAAGUUAGAGGUGAAAGCCUGGAGCUCAACUCCAGAACUGCCUUUAAGACUGCAUCGCUUGAAUCCAGGAGAGGUGAGUGGAAUUCCGAGUGUAGAGGUGAAAUUCGUAGAUAUUCGGAAGAACACCAGUGGCGAAGGCGGCUCACUG